rnacentral:snoRNA from 1 species
ACCCUUCAGAUUCUUUACGCAUCAGACCUAAACACUAGUACGAUUGGUUUUAAAAGGAGGCAAAGUAAAAUUGAAACUGACAAAUUUUGUGUGUGACACACAAGCUAGUUUCAAAAAGAA